CUACAUGCUUCCCUCAAUUAUUUGAGCACCAUUAAGUCCUCAUACAGAGUUUUAAGCUUCUAUAGUUGCUCUCAUAUGCAUAUUUCCAGAGCCACUCAAAAUGAUUCUAAAGUCAGAUCCAGGAAGGUGUUUGCAUCAAGCUAAGGAUGAUAGCCAAGGAAGCAAAAGGGAGGAUGGUGCUCCUCAUGUUAUUCCUGUAUGUUAGGUCAUCGAUGUAAGCUCAAAGCCAACCUAGGGCAACACAUAUCCUUUGGCAAUCGACUUCUUUGCACUUUUGUACGACCAGUUGGUGAUCACGACCUCCUUUGAUGACCCAAAACCUCCUUGCGGCAUCAUUGGUGUGCCAUUCAUGGGGGGGAGGCGACGAUGUUGCUCUAAUGGGGAAGCACUUCAAGAACCAUCGUCGUAGGAUCUAUUCCAACACUUACAAGGCUCUCAACUCAUUGCUGAAAGUCAUUGUGCAUGGCUCUGUCGUGGCAAUGGUAACACUAACCUAGCUCAUUUACUAGAAGAUGGGAAGAAGAAGGAAACCAAUAGAAAGAAAGAAAAUUAUUUUUCAAUUUUUGGCCAUUAAAAACGUCAUUUUUUUUGCAGUUUUAGAUCAUCAUUUUCAAUUUUGUAGCAAUUUUAAAGAAUAAGGGUGUAACAACAUUAUCAUGUCACUAAUGGCAGGGACCAAAUGGUUUUAAAAAUUAUAACUAUUGAUCAAAAUAAAAUAUUUUAAAUUAUAGGAAUUAAA